rnacentral:tmRNA from 1 species
CACGGCUUUCGACGUGGAUUGCAAAACCCGAGGUGCAUGCCGAGGAUGCAGAGAUCCUCGUAAAUCCCUCUGCAAAAAGAUAGUUGCCAACGACGACAACUACGCACUCGCUGCCUAAACACCAGUAGAGUGCCGUCUCACCGGGCUGUGCCCGUGCGGUCCGGAUUCGAGGCGUCAUCCUUCACGGGAUCGCGGCAAGGCUCGUCCGGGGCCAAGCCGUUAAACCCUUACCGGACUCGCCGCAAAACCGCCCUGUCCGUCGGGUGGCAAGCGGUCAAAUCUCAAUAGACGGACUAAGCAUGUAGAGCCGAGGGCGGAGGAUCCGCGGACGCGGGUUCGAUCA